UACAGGGGGUGCUAGCGUUGUUCGGAAUUACUGGGCGUAAAGGGCGCGUAGGCGGUUUCGCAAGUCAAGGGUGAAAUCCCGGAGCUUAACUCCGGAAUUGCUUUUGAUACUGUGAGGCUAGAGUGUAUUAGAGGAUGGCGGAAUUCCUAGUGUAGUGGUGAAAUACGUAGAUAUUAGGAAGAACACCGGUGGCGAAGGCGGCCAUCUGGGAUACAACUGACGCUGAGGCGCGAAAGCGUGGGGAUCAAACAGG
rnacentral:rRNA from 1 species